rnacentral:rRNA from 1 species
AACCUACCCUUAAGACGAGGAUAGCCAUUGUAAACGAUGGAUAAAACUGGAUAGGAUAUAGAGGAAGAAUCUUUUAUAUUUAAAAGAGAGAUCUGCUUAAGGAGGGGCCUGUGGCGCAUUAGCUAGUUGGUGGGGUAAGGGCCUACCAAGGCGAUGAUGCGUAGCCGGACUGAGAGGUUGAACGGCCACAAUGGAACUGAGAACGGUCCAUACUCCUACGGGAGGCAGCAGUAGGGAAUUUUCGGCAAUGGGGGGAACCCUGACCGAGCAACGCCGCGUGAACGAAGAAGUUAUUCGUAAUGUAAAGUUCUUUUAUCAGGGAAGAAAGAGGAAUUUGACGGUACCUGAGGAAUAAGCUCCGGCUAACUACGUGCCAGCAGCCGCGGUAAUACGUAGGGAGCGAGCGUUAUCCGGAAUUAUUGGGCGUAAAGGGUGCGUAGAUGGCAUAGUAAGUCUUUUGUAAAAAUGCUGGGCUCAACCCAGUAGGGCAAAAGAUACUGCAAAGCUAGAGUAUGACAGAGGCAAGCGGAACUACAUGUGUAGCGGUAAAAUGCGUAAAUAUAUGUAAGAACACCAGUGGCGAAGGCGGCUUGCUGGGUCGAUACUGACAUUGAGGCACGAAAGCGUGGGGAGCAAAC